GUGCAGUGGUACCAACUUCAAGAAAGUGCAAACGACGCAAAAGUUUUUGAUUCUUCGCUUCAACAAAGGUAUUGGACUAGAGGUUCCUGAGAACAAACAAAGUCUUCAGCCUAUCAAAACAGUUUAAG